AGUCUUAUAUUCAUGAAAUGAUUUUGGAAUGCAAUUCUAAAGGAGCACGAAUAAUUUUUUUGCUAAGACUU
rnacentral:tRNA from 1 species